UGAGUGCUUGGCCCUGUUCUCAGCAGGUGACCCUCCUGCACCGUGUAGGUGAGGCCGCUGGGAUGAACUGCGGGGUCUGUCCCCUCAGGAAAGCCGUCACCCCCCCGGUAAGCGGCUGCGGGGAAGGGAGAUUGAUCUCCCAAGUAACUUAGUGCAAACGGCUUCUGCGUAAAUCCCUUGGUGUCAAAGGGGUUGGGUUUGUCGUCUGUGAGAAGAUAUUUCGUGACUGGUUUGAAACUUCACACUGAACAGUCUGUGUUGUGAGAAUGUGUGAGGAAGGUGCCCAGUGCUCCCGAAACCGCACCUGAAAUUCUCUCCAGCUGUUCCUGCAGCCUCUGCCUGUGGGCACUGCCACGCAGAAUUGAUCGAGCUUUAAAAGCCUAUCACGUGUCCAUGGAAGAAAAACGCAACAGAGAACCUGUACCUCCUAUCCCAGAACUGCCUUCCACUAUGAACAGUGAGCUAAAACAACAGAUGAUGUUGCACUCAGAUGGAGCACAUCCUCGUAAGACUUUGAGAACUUUGCUUACUCCUAUUGUUCUACCUUCAUCAUCCACAUCUUAUAUGUCACCAUCACAGAAUGAACUACUGACAUACCGAAGAGGCAAAGAGCAGCAAAAGAGGCUUAAUCAGUUGCUAAUUGAUCGAGCUUUAAAAGCCUAUCACGUGUCCAUGGAAGAAAAAUGCAACAGAGAACCUGUACCUCCUAUCCCAGAACUGCCUUCCACUAUGAACAGUGAGCUAAAACAACAGAUGGAAAACUAUCUCUUUCUGAAGAAGUGUGUGCUAAGCAAUCCCAUCAUUCCCAUUCAGCACCAGUGGCUCAUGUCCAUGCUCACAUUGGUGCCACAGUCACUUAUGGAAGGCAAAGACAGAAAGCUGUUAGUUGAAAAGCUUCUAGUGGAGAUAGUGGAGGAUUAUGAAAAGAGCAUGAGAAGAUUUAUGGUGCGAAGUGUUCUUAUUAAACCAGACAUAAAAGGACUUGAAGAUGAAGAGGAGGCACCUUUGCCUUCAUUACCUGUAGGCCUGGAUUUUUCUAGUCCAUGGCAUAAGAGUUUUACCCGAGCAAAGAGUAAAAUCCUUUCCAAGCUGCAUAUUCUCCACCCCACAAUGAAAUCGCUACUGGAUUUUGGAUAUGCAGCAUUCUUUGACUUUCUUCUAGUGGAUUUCUCAAGCCUCAGACUGAAAGAGCCAAUUGACUGUAAAUGUUUAAAGACUGAUGUCUCUCUAAGCUGUUCUAAAGCAGAAGAGAAAAUACUGGUGACAUGGUAUCAAAGAGUUAUCAAUCUCUUUACUCAUAAUGAGGCACUGAAUAGUGUAAAGUUGGAUCAGCUUGACUCUUUUUAUAACUGUGUGGAUGUUCUUAUGUCUAAUCAGGUGAAAGACUUAUUGACAAGAACAGUUGAAGCUUACGUGAAACUUUUUGAUCCUGAAGACAGAAAUGGCCCACCUUUGUUUAAGAUGGAAUUGACUCUUGAUGACCAGAAAAUGGAGUUUUAUCCAAGCUUGCAAGACCUAGAAGAAGGAAUUCUGUUUAUAGCAAAUCGCAUAGGACAGACGCUCCAGAACAUCCAGACGGUACAUUCUUGGCUAAUGGGAGACACUGCAACUCUGGACACUGAGCUUCCUAAGCAUGUCUUAGAAUGGGCCACAUCUAUACUGAAAAAGCGUAUCAGAGACAACUUAGAAGGUCCAAAGAAACAUUUUGAAAAAUAUGUUGAAAAGUAUGGCUGGCUUGUAGAUGGAACUGCACAGGCACGGGUAGAAAGAUUUGAAGCAGAAGAACACAGUUUUGAUGAAUACACUGCUUUAAUAGAUGAAUUCUUCACCCACAAGAAGGAAAUCUUGAGUUUACCUGAGGUGGCUUAUUUUCCUAUGGUCUAUUUGAAUUCUGAGGAUUUAAAGCAAGGUUUGGCGAGUAGCACAAACGCCUUUGCAAAAGUGCUAAUGGACAGAAUAGUUGCAAAUUACAGAGAGGAAAACAAAAUGAUAUGCAGGGAAUUUGAAGCCAUUAAGGAAUGUGCAUUAAAAGUUCCUGGGACAAGAGAAGAAAUGGUGAAAACAGAAGCUUACAUAAAGAAAGUCAAAGACAAAGAUAUUAAGGACCUCUUGUUAAGGAUCAAGAAGUGCUCCCAGCGGCUGCUUUACUACUUAGACAAUUUUUUAUUUGAUCCUGAAGACAUUGCACUGAAUGCAACAGUUCAAUUAUGGCCAAAGAGGAUUGGGCCUAUUUUUGAUGAGCAUGAUUAUCUCAUUGAAAAGUUUAAAUAUAAAGAAGAGCAAGAACUAAUAUAGGAACAUGAGAAAGUGGUAAUGGACUUCAAAAAGCUGACGUGUUCUAAGGAAUGUUAGCUAAUCCCAAUUUGCUCUUUGAUUCAAUGCCAGUCAUUUGGAUAAAGCCAAAAAUAAGGAAAUCUAAUGCGUAUAUUUGCCUACUCUACAAGACAAGUGAGCGUAAAGGAGUUUAUCUACUACUGGAUAUUCUGCUAACUUCGUCAUUGCUUUGAUGCUUAACACGGAUAAACCAGUACAACACUGGAUCAAGCGAGGUGUUGCAUUGCUCUGCCAGCUGGAUAACUAACUUUGGACAGUUCAGAUAUGGGCUUUGCUAGAUCCUGAUCUUUUUGGUGGCUUACAGAGGAAGUGGAAUAUACUGUGUAAAAGAAACAUCUAGACUUUUUUUAUUAUAAGAGGGCAUGCAGAUAUUUUUCUGAUGCUCAAUAUUGUGUUUUAAAAAACAAUGUGUUUUUAUUAGCAUCUUUAGAAUCUAUAAAAGAUACAGCUAGGAUUUUAGCCUUUAGUAAUAUUAUUAAUAUUUAAACAUUAAUUUUAUGCAUUAUUUCAAUAUCACAAAAUACAUCUUAAUGGAAAAUGAAACUGGUCUGCACUUUCAGAAAGAAACAUUGCAGUUAAUGAACUUGAAGCAUUAAGAGCACUGAAACAUGUCAGUGGAAAGCUAGUACGUAGUAAGUUUGGGGAUUUCAGUAUGGAUUAAUAUAUAGCCUAUGUUCUGUCAUAGCAACAGCAAAGAUUGCAAUAUGAGAAAUUGAUUAACAAUCUGUAGUAGGUGCUAAAAAUCUGUUUCCCUAUUGCUCCAGAGAGGCAAUCCAGUUUCUAUUCCUUCACCGAUUCUGCACUUUUGUUUUCUUUAAAAUAAAAAAGUAAAUAGUAAAAAUACUUAAACAUUCUUCCUAGAUCUCUCUAGCAAAGAACUAUUGCAUACAGACAGAGCCAUCAUUAUUGCUUUGUAAGCAUCUCCCCAUAAAAUAUACAGUAGCAGUAAAUUAAGCACGAGGAAGUCUCACUCUGUCUUACAGUCACUAGCUACGUAGGCAUCUAUGCUUCACUCCCCUGUUUAUUGUAAGUUACACUGGCAUGAGUUUUCAGCAUAGGUCUGUUUUUUGAAAUUGUGGUUUUCCCUUUAAAGACUCUAUCUUCUGUUUGGUUUUCUGUUUAAUAUGUGAAUUGAUGUUAAGCAAUCAGUAAAACGUGAUAAGUUUUAAUAAAGUUCUUACUUG